ACAGCAGUGACACACCAAGAUACAGCUGACCUGAAGAAUUGAAGAAAAUUAGAAGAGCAGUGUGUACUCAGAGCUGAGGCAGGACUCACACAAAGGUCAGAGCUUCAAGAUCUAUGGUUGUUGAGGAACAGCACAGACUGCUGGGAAACAGAGUUCAUCCUCCUGUGUUACUCACUCAAGCUGCUACAAGACCAGAAGUUUAAACCCUCUUAUCCAACUGUUCAUUCAUUUUUUUGAUUUAAACACAUUUUAAAUGAUCAUGUCAGAUACUCAUGUCUACAACAGGAAGGUGUUUUAUAACAGAUGGAGAUGUAACAGGUUGGAGGUAAAAUCUCUUACAGUGAAAGUUUAGUUUCACCAUAAUGAACAUACUAGUUUCACUCUUAUUGUAGAAAUGCUUGAUAACAUUAUAAUUGUUUUGUUUGUUUGUUUUAUCAUGUGAAUCUAAAUAUGAAGUGUGCUGAUUGUAGCAUAAACAUUCCAGGAGAAUCAGAUUCAGUGGUGUUGGAGUUCCUUUUCUGUAGAGGAGAUAAGUGUAUGAGUUCUGUGGGGCUUCACAGCCAACAGACUUUCUGUCUUUUCAGAAGUUCUGAAGCUUGUGAUUGAGUGACUGUUUAUGUUUGUGUGUCUGUUACUAGAGUCACUCAGAGAGACACAUUAAGCUCCACUUUUUAACCUUUGAGCCAAGAUUUUAAUUUUUUUUUGCAGUGUUAUGUAACUGCAGCACUUUGUAAAUAAAAGACCUGGAGAUUCCUGGUGAU